AAAAAAUUAGUUAAAUUUAUAACAUUAAUUUGUCAAAUUAAAAUUAAUAAUUAUUAUUAUUUUUUU
rnacentral:tRNA from 1 species